rnacentral:lncRNA from 1 species
AAUAAAAUAGGGUUAAAUGAUAGCAACAAAUAUUAGUUGAUUACAGAAUUUAAAUACAUGUAAAAGAAGAGGACAAUGUAAGGAGCAAGACAAAACAACAAUAAUCAAAAAUUGAUUAAACCUAAUUAUAUUCCAAACAAUGACGAAGUUUACAGAAAUUAAUAAACCAACAAAAGCAAAAUUAGUUGUCCCUAUGAAUAUGAAUUUUUAUCUCAUCUUUUCUGAGUUUUCUUUCUCAUCUUGUGCUGCAAUUGUUGGCUCCUCUUUGAGUCUUUCUUACCCAACCUCCCAACAAUAAACACAACAGGCUUUAUGCAUGGAUUCUUCGAUUUGAAGUAAUUGAUUAGCGUCAAAAAUUGAGAAGACGUCAAGAAUCUGUAAUUUUUAGAAAUACACUUACAUGCACCGACAGAUCAGAUAAAACUACAGACAUGCCUAUACAAUAUCUAAUAAGAAGUCAUGUAGAAAACUAAAAUUGAAACAAAUGAACAAACUCUCAAAAGGAAUACAGAAAGUGAUGAGCAAAAAUCAUUGCAAGAAAGGAGAAAAAAAAAACUACCAAAUUAAUAAAAUAAUAUAUAGGCAUAAACGAAAUGUUCGGAAAAAAGCUCAAGCCCAACCAAAUGUUGGAAAAAUCAA